GUAGGGAAUAUUGGGCAAUGGAGGCAACUCUGACCCAGCCAUGCCGCGUGCAGGAUGACGGCCCUCUGGGUUGUAAACUGCUUUUAUACGGGAAGAAAAAAUACUACGUGUAGUAUACUGACGGUACCGUAAGAAUAAGGAUCGGCUAACUCCGUGCCAGCAGCCGCGGUAAUACGGAGGAUCCAAGCGUUGUCCGGAUUUAUUGGGUUUAAAGGGUGCGUAGGCGGAUCUUUAAGUCAGUGGUGAAAGCCUGCAGCUUAACUGUAGAAUUGCCAUUGAAACUGAAGAUCUUGAAUGUGGUUAAAGUAGGCGGAAUGUAUCAUGUAGCGGUGAAAUGCUUAGAUAUGAUACAGAACACCGAUAGCGAAGGCAGCUUGCUGAACCAUUAUUGACGCUGAGGCACGAAAGCGUGGGGAGCGAACAGGAUUAGAUACCCUUGUAGUCC
rnacentral:rRNA from 1 species